CGCGGAGAGGCGCGGGACGCGGGCUCGUGCGGAGAGACACCCUGACGUCAGGGGCGAGCGAUACGCACUCUUAAAGGGGACGCGAGAAGCCCCGCCCCGGGCGCGGGGUUGGUGCGGCAGGUGCCGGGGCACGCGCUACCUGGGUACCGGCACCUGGCGCCGCCGCACCCGUGGGUCGGCUGCCUGCUUAAGAGGACCAAGGGGGUCCUCCCGCCCCGGGAGUGUCCUCCUGCCCCCGCAGACUGCGGCCCGGUGGCUGCAGGUUGGCAGCCCAGGCACCGGCACGACUCAGGUGACUUGCUCGGCUUCCAGGUAGCCUCAGAGGCGCUGCCUAAGCCAGCCCGCCUGCCCUUUGAGCCUGGCCUCUUUGCAGCCUGGAAAGGAGGAGUGGCAUUCUCUCUCGGGACUGAGAAGCACAUAGAGAAAAACUUUUGGUCCCCAUGUGGGGACCAAAAGUUAUAAGGAGAAGAAGCCAGAGUGACAGAAGCCAAGAUGAGAGACAUUGCCAAGAAUGAGGAAGGAGACAGCAUGGCAGAGUGGGAGUACUAGGAAUGCCUUGCAUCACCUCUACAAACCCUGCUGCCUGGGAGGAACCACAGGCCCCACUCCCACCCUGCCAGCCAGGCUGCUUGGGCACGGGGUGAACAGCGGAUACAAGGGAAUCCUGUCCACCCGCUGAUCUACCAAUCAUAGUUCUUGAUAAUGUGAGUUGAAACUCAUAACGGCAGAAUCAAGCAGAUAGUGGUCGAUCACAGAGCAACAAGAGCACGUGGACUCCUGACUGAGGCUGCAAAGGGAAGCAGACAAAAGGGGCAAAUCUCCAGCGUGCUAGUCGUUACUGAUGUUCAGGUACCUUCCACAUACAUGGUAGAGUUGCACCUGCCAAACCCCUCGUGGUUAAGUGGAGCACUGUGACAAGUUUUAACCAGUGGGUUAGGAAACUAAGUGACUGUCACCUCUUGGCAGAGAAUUUAACUGUUGGAAUGAGAUGCUACAAAGCCCUUUCUCCUCUCCAGCAGUAUUUUAGGUCGCUGUUGUCUGUCAAACAGAAUCCAGAGUGAGGAUGAAGCAGGGUAAAGUCCCCAGUUAAUGUUGAAAGACAUUUAGCAUUUGUGAGAAAUAAACCUGAGUGAUUUUAA